GAACGCUGGCGGUAGGCCUAACACAUGCAAGUCGAACGGCAGCACAGGAGAGCUUGCUCUCUGGGUGGCGAGUGGCGGACGGGUGAGGAAUACAUCGGAAUCUACCUUUUCGUGGGGGAUAACGUAGGGAAACUUACGCUAAUACCGCAUACGACCUACGGGUGAAAGUGGGGGACCGCAAGGCCUCACGCGAUUAGAUGAGCCGAUGUCCGAUUAGCUAGUUGGCGGGGUAAUGGCCCACCAAGGCGACGAUCGGUAGCUGGUCUGAGAGGAUGAUCAGCCACACUGGAACUGAGACACGGUCCAGACUCCUACGCGAGGCAGCAGUGGGGAAUAUUGGACAAUGGGCGCAAGCCUGAUCCAGCCAUACCGCGUGGGUGAAGAAGGCCUUCGAGUUGUAAAGCCCUGAUGUUGGGAUCGAAAUCCUGUCGAUUAAUACUCGGUGGGGAUGACGGUACCCAAAGAAUAAGCACCGGCUAACUUCGUGCCAGCAGCCGCGGUAAUACGAAGGGUGCAAGCGUUACUCGGAAUUACUGGGCGUAAAGCGUGCGUAGGUGGUGGUUCUAAGUCUGCUGUGAAAGCCCUGGGCUCAACCUGGGAAUUGCAGUGGAUAACUGGAUCACUAGAGUGUGGUAGAGGGUCAUGCGGAAUUUCUGGGUGUAGCAGUGAAAUGCGUAGAGAUCCAGAAGGAACAUCCGUUGGCGAAGGCGGCAUCCAGUGGGCCAACACUGACACUGAGGCACGAAAGCGUGGGGAGCAAACAGGAUUAGAUACC
rnacentral:rRNA from 1 species